GGCAGAGGUCUCAAGCGUUGUUCGGAUUCAUUGGGCGUAAAGGGUGCGUAGGCGGCGCGGUAAGUCGGGUGUGAAAUUUCGAGGCUUAACUUCGAAACUGCAUUCGAUACUGCCGUGCUCGAGGACUGGAGAGGAGACUGGAAUUUACGGUGUAGCGGUGAAAUGCGUAGAUAUCGUAAGGAAGACCAGUGGCGAAGGCGGGUCUCUGGACAGUUCCUGACGCUGAGGCACGAAGGCCAGGGGAGCAAACGGG
rnacentral:rRNA from 1 species